rnacentral:rRNA from 1 species
GAUGAACGCUAGCGGCAGGCUUAACACAUGCAAGUCGAGGGGCAGCGCGAUGUAGCAAUACAUUGGCGGCGACCGGCGCACGGGUGCGUAACACGUAUGGAACUUACCCUUUACUGGGAGAUAGCCCGGAGAAAUCCGGAUUAAUAUCCCAUAAUAAACCGAAGUGGCAUCACUUUGUUUGAAAGCUCCGGCGGUAAAGGAUGGCCAUGCGCACGAUUAGCUAGUAGGUGAGGUAACGGCUCACCUAGGCUACGAUCGUUAGGGGGCCUGAGAGGGUUAUCCCCCACACUGGUACUGAGACACGGACCAGACUCCUACGGGAGGCAGCAGUGAGGAAUAUUGCGCAAUGGAGGCAACUCUGACGCAGCCAUGCCCGNGUGCAGGAAGAAGGCGCUACGCGUU